UACGGAGGGUGCGAACGUUAUUCGGAAUUACUGGGCGUAAAGCGCGUGUAGGCGGGGGAGCAAGUCUGAUGUGAAAGCCCCGGGCUUAACCCGGGAAGUGCAUUGGAAUCUGUUUUCUUGAGUACUGGAGAGGAAGGGGGAAUUCCCGGUGUAGAGGUGAAAUUCGUAGAGAUCGGGAGGAAUACCAGUGGCGAAGGCGCCCUUCUGGACGGUUACUGACGCUGAGACGCGAAAGCGUGGGGAGCAAACAGG
rnacentral:rRNA from 1 species